rnacentral:rRNA from 1 species
CUACGGGUCGCUGCAGUGGGGAAUAUUGGACAAUUGGGGAAACCCUGAUCCAGCAAUGCCGCGUGUGUGAAGAAGGCCUGCGGGUUGUAAAGCACUUUCGGUUGGGAGGACUGCUUCUAGCACUAAUAUUGUUGGAAGUUGACGUUACCUUCAGAAGAAGCACCGGCUAACUCCGUGCCAGCAGCCGCGGUAAUACGGAGGUUGCAAGCGUUAAUCGGAAUUACUGGGCGUAAAGCGCGCGUAGGCGGCUAGAUCAGUCGGGUGUGAAAGCCCCGGGCUUAACCUGGGAACUGCAUCCGAUACUGUCUAGCUUGAGUACAGGAGAGGAGAGUGGAAUUCCACAUGUAGCGGUGAAAUGCGUAGAUAUGUGGAGGAACACCAAUGGCGAAGGCAGCUCUCUGGCCUGAUACUGACGCUGAGGUGCGAAAGCGUGGGGAGCAAACAGGAUUAGAUACCCUAGUAGUC